GUUCUUAUUUUGAAAGCCGAGGCGGCUGCCCAGCGGGAGCGCAUCAUUCCUCAGCUUUUCCGUUUCUGGCAGCGGUGGGAGGCUCAGCCCAUCAGUCGGUCCGGAGGAGCUUGUGGGAGGGGUUGGUUGACUGGUUUGGGAUAUACGGGCUGAUUUUGGAUUUUUUGUUGGUGUUGCUUGGGAGUACUGGUUAAGGGACAGGUUAGAACAAAUUCUAAACGAGUUAGCGAACGAAUUCUGCUGGCAUCUGCCUUUACCCCCGACUAACUGCGGCUCUGGCCAAGGACUGACUGCAGGAACCACAUUCGGGUCCUGCCGCCGUGUGCCAGCUUCGUUAAGGCUGAAAUUUGAAAACGGGAAAACCGGUGCGAUAAACUGGAGGACCCUAGAGCCGACAUGGGUCACCCGCAGAGGAUGAGGAUGGCGGCGCUGGUCACAAGGACUAGUGUCCCUUCUUUGCGCGCCUAUCUGGGGCCACUACUGAAGGGACCUGCCAGCUGCCGCCCCGGGGGUCUCCCAGCAUGGAGCGCCUCUCUGCGGACCUCGUUUCUGUUGAGCCCGGAGCUCAACCACAGAUGUCCAGCCACAAUUCUCGGUUGGCCGCAGACUCGUACAAGAAUUGCGUUUGGACAAUCAGUGGCGAAGCCCCUGAGUUCAGGACCCCGAUUUCCUGCGGGGUUCUGCCUGGCUCCUUAAAAGCGCACACCAGAUCUUGGGAGCUGCGCGUCGGAAUACCUUGCAGAAGCUCAUCAGUCGCAGCUCAUCCCGCGGGUUUCUCUGUGUAGCAAUUCUGGCUGUCCUGGAAUUCACUCUGUAGCCCAGACAUGCUGUGACUAAAGGGUUUCUCUGCAGCUUUGGAGUCUGUCCUGGAACUCACUCUGUAGGCCAAGCUGGCCUCAGACUCACAGAGAUCCACCUGUCUCUGCCUCCAGAGUCCUGGGAUUAAAGGACCAUUGGCCCGAAAAUAGCCCACCAGGAAGCCGUAACCAGAGCUAGGCUAGAGAUCUGACUCCAGGGUUCAGCCCCCAGGAUGCAGUUCGUCACCAGGGCCGGAGCGUGGAAGGUGAUGAGAAGACGCGCCCAGAUCAGCGGCACCCGGUCCCCGCCCCAGCCGGGCUUGCUCUCCAGCCCAUCGCGUCAUCUGGAGGGUAUGUGGAGGUCCCGCAUGGGGCCGCCAGAGGGCGCUGCAGACAG